rnacentral:rRNA from 1 species
UCANCCAUAGUUCGCUUUGGAAACUGUCAAACUUGAGUGCAGAAGGGGAGAGUGGAAUUCCAUGUGUAGCGGUGAAAUGCGUAGAUAUAUGGAGGAACACCGGUGGCGUAAGCGGCUCUCUGGUCUGUAACUGACGCUGAGGCUCGAAAGCGUGGGGAGCGAACAGGAUUAGAUACCCUGGUAGCCCACGCCGUAAACGAUGAGUGCUAGGUGUUGGAUCCUUUCCGGGAUUCGGUGCCGCAGCUAACGCAUUAAGCACUCCGCCUGGGGAGUACGACCGCAAGGUUGAAACUCAAAGGAAUUGACGGGGGCCCGCACAAGCGGUGGAGCAUGUGGUUUAAUUCGAAGCAACGCGAAGAACCUUACCAGGUCUUGACAUCCCGAUGCUAUUUCUAGAGAUAGAAAGUUACUUCGGUACAUCGGUGACAGGUGGUGCAUGGUUGUCGUCAGCUCGUGUCGUGAGAUGUUGGGUUANNNNNNGCAACGAGCGCAACCCCUAUUGUUAGUUGCCAUCAUUCAGUUGGGCACUCUAGCGAGACUGCCGGUAAUAAACCGGAGGAAGGUGGGGAUGACGUCAAAUCAUCAUGCCCCUUAUGACCUGGGCUACACACGUGCUACAAUGGUUGGUACAACGAGUUGCGAGUCGGUGACGGCAAGCUAAUCUCUUAAAGCCAAUCUCAGUUCGGAUUGUAGGCUGC